rnacentral:rRNA from 1 species
UACGUAGGGUGCAAGCGUUAUCCGGAAUUAUUGGGCGUAAAGAGCUCGUAGGCGGUUUGUCGCGUCUGCUGUGAAAACUGGAGGCUCAACCUCCAGCCUGCAGUGGGUACGGGCAAACUAGAGUGCGGUAGGGGAGAUUGGAAUUCCUGGUGUAGCGGUGGAAUGCGCAGAUAUCAGGAGGAACACCGAUGGCGAAGGCAGAGCUCUGGGCCGGAACUGACGCUGAGGAGCGAAAGCAUGGGGAGCGAACAGG